rnacentral:rRNA from 1 species
ACCUACGGGGGGCAGCAGUGGGGAAUAUUGGCCAAUGGGGGGAACCCUGAUCCAGCGACGCCGCGUGAGUGAAGAAGUAUUUCGGUAUGUAAAGCUCUAUCAGCAGGGAAGAAAAUGACGGUACCUGACUAAGAAGCCCCGGCUAACUACGAGCCAGCAGCCGCGGUAAUACGUAGGGGGCAAGCGUUAUCCGGAUUUACUGGGUGUAAAGGGAGCGUAGACGGUUCAGCGAGUCUGGUGUGAAAGGU